UACGUAGGGUGCGAGCGUUGUCCGGAAUUAUUGGGCGUAAAGAGCUCGUAGGCGGUGUGUCACGUCGGCCGUGAAAACCUGCAGCUUAACUGUGGGCGUGCGGUCGAUACGGGCAUCACUGGAGUUCGGCAGGGGAGACUGGAAUUCCUGGUGUAGCGGUGAAAUGCGCAGAUAUCAGGAGGAACACCGGUGGCGAAGGCGGGUCUCUGGGCCUUACCUGACGCUGAGGAGCGAAAGCGUGGGUAGCGAACAGG
rnacentral:rRNA from 1 species